rnacentral:rRNA from 1 species
UACGUAGGGUGCAAGCGUUGUCCGGAAUUAUUGGGCGUAAAGAGCUCGUAGGCGGUUUGUCGCGUCUGCUGUGAAAACCCGAGGCUCAACCUCAGGCCUGCAGUGGGUACGGGCAGACUAGAGUGCGGUAGGGGAGAUUGGAAUUCCUGGUGUAGCGGUGGAAUGCGCAGAUAUCAGGAGGAACACCAAUGGCGAAGGCAGAUCUCUGGGCCGUAACUGACGCUGAGACGCGAAAGCGUGGGGAGCAAACAGG